UACGGAGGGUGCAAGCGUUAUCCGGAUUCACUGGGUUUAAAGGGUGCGUAGGUGGGCUGGUAAGUCCGUGGUGAAAUCUCCAAGCUUAACUUGGAAACUGCCAUGGAUACUAUUAGUCUUGAAUCUCGUGGAGGUAAGCGGAAUAUGUCAUGUAGCGGUGAAAUGCUUAGAUAUGACAUAGAACACCGAUAGCGAAGGCAGCUUGCUACACGAGUAUUGACACUGAGGCACGAAAGCGUGGGGAUCAAACAGG
rnacentral:rRNA from 1 species